rnacentral:snRNA from 1 species
GUCAGAUGAACUACUGACAGAGACAUACUAAAAUUUGAACGAUACAAAGAUUAGCAUGGCCCCUGCGCAAGGAUGACACGUAAAUUUGUGAAGCGUUCCAUAUUAAA